rnacentral:rRNA from 1 species
GAUGAACGCUGGCGGCGUGCCUAAUACAUGCAAGUCGAGCGAACAGACGAGGAGCUUGCUCCUCUGACGUUAGCGGCGGACGGGUGAGUAACACGUGGAUAACCUACCUAUAAGACUGGGAUAACUUCGGGAAACCGGAGCUAAUACCGGAUAAUAUAUUGAACCGCAUGGUUCAAUAGUGAAAGACGGUUUUGCUGUCACUUAUAGAUGGAUCCGCGCCGCAUUAGCUAGUUGGUAAGGUAACGGCUUACCAAGGUGACGAUGCGUAGCCGACCUGAGAGGGUGAUCGGCCACACUGGAACUGAGACACGGUCCAGACUCCUACGGGAGGCAGCAGUAGGGAAUCUUCCGCAAUGGGCGAAAGCCUGACGGAGCAACGCCGCGUGAGUGAUGAAGGUCUUCGGAUCGUAAAACUCUGUUAUUAGGGAAGAACAAAUGUGUAAGUAACUAUGCACGUCUUGACGGUACCUAAUCAGAAAGCCACGGCUAACUACGUG